rnacentral:lncRNA from 1 species
AUGACACCGAUGGAAGAUAAGUUGUGGGUAAACUGUGGGUCCCACAGAAGGAGCAGUGCCUGCGUAGGGGCCCAUGCUUCACAGUGCUACACCUCUGGACACCACUUCUGUGCUUUCUUACACGUGAUAUAUCAUUCAGACCCUGCAGAGACGUCCACCCGAACAGUGCCGUUCAGAUCAUGUUUUAAAACCUUCCACGUCUGGUGUUGGGAACGCAGCCGCGGCUUGGUGGUGGAUAGCAAGAGGCAAAGAUCAGCUUCCAGCGGGAGAACAAAGAUGCUUGGAGCUCUCUUGGCCCUCAUGAAAGCCCUUCCUGAAAGCCUUCUGGAAUGCUCCACGAAGCAGUUUACGGUCUGGGAGGAAAUGGCUUCUCCAUGUGCAAGUGCGCUGCCCUAUCCUCCACUCUCCCCCACACCUGUGGGAUCAUUGCUGGGGUUCAAGGAGCCCCACGGCCGGCCGUUGUCAGGGGAGACGGUGGUGGGGAGCAGAGCGUGGUAA